AUCCAUGCCACUGUUUGAAAUUUUGUCUGACCUGUGGAUUAAACAGUUUUGGAGUGCAGCUUGGCUUUGAAAGAAUAGGCAAGAUUUCUGUCUCAUUAUUUAGCUUGCAAGCCCAAGAAAUUUGCAUUGGCCCUGUUGCCUGUCUAUCCCAUAACAGUCUCUGUGGAUACACACUGUUUUAUUUGCUGGCCCAAAUAUAUGCAACUCCAUCCCUCUCUCUAUCUAUUCCUUUACUUACAACAACACUUCUUUUGGUUAUCAAGGUGCAUCUGGGCCCACCUGCAUCUGAAGACAGCCCCCUCACCCUUGAAGAUGUCUUCCAACCUAACUUAAUGAAGGCCAGUCUCCAGGCUUUCCCCAAAUAUGCAAUCAAGUUAAAGGGAUGUUGCUUCAGCAAGUCACAGGCAAAAAUGCCUAUCACCCUGCAUUCUGUGGAGGCCCUGCUUUGAAUCACCAAUGCCUCUGGCUAGUUUCCAAACCCCUCCCAAGCCUCCUCUGCUUCCACCCCACGAGCCUGGACUGUGGCCACCACACCGUGUUCACACAAUCUUGUCAACCAGUGAGUACCAGGGCUUGGUGUCAGGGGGCUACCUCCUUCUUAGACACUGAGCUGAAACAACACUGAAGACUACUUUUUGAUCCUAUUCAUCUGCCUCAUCCCUCCUGCUGGGUCUGUACCCCUGCAGGAAAGAAACUUUUUCAUCUGUCUGCCACCUCCCACAUACACAC